AUGUUCUACCGUUUUGUGCUAGUUCUGGUCAUUUUUCUUAGUUUUUUUCUACUUUUUUCACCCGUGUCUGGGGACCCAGAGCAGGGAUCCUUUGUUUACAGUAAGGAUCAGCUGUUAGCGCUACGUCCCGCGGCUGUACUGCCGGCGGACAGACCCGACAUUCCCAGCGAGCUGAGGAGGAAAAGACGGGGGUGUCGUGCUGGGAAGGAGCGCCGUCGCCCAAGAAGGAGACGUUAUCGACCAUCUCUUCCUUCUGUAACUAUUGGAAAUGUAAGAUCUUUGCCCAAUAAGAUGGAUGAGCUCACGUCGCUAACCUGGUCACAGAGGGAGUACCGGCAAUGUAGCAUCAUGAUGCUAACGGAGUCGUGGCUAACACCGCUAACUCCAAACACGAGCGUGACACUACCGGGAUUCCAGCUGCUGCGAGCGGACAGGACGAGAGAGAGCGGUAAGAGGAAAGGAGGGGGACUGGCAGUGUUUGUGAAUGACAGAUGGUGUAACCCCGGGCACAUCACUGUAAAAGAACAACUCUGCAGCAGAGACAUUGAGCUGUUAGCCGUUAGCAUGCGUCCGUACUACCUGCCCCGGGAAUUCUCGCAUGUUAUCGCGAUAACAGCGUAUGUCCCCCCCUCAGCCAACGCGGAUGCAGCAUGUGACUCUCUCCACUCUGUGGUCAGCAGACUGCAAACACAAUCUCCGAGAGCCCUUCUCAUAAUAUCAGGGGACUUUAAUCAUGCCUCACUGAACUCCACACUGCCCACCUUCACCCAGUAUGUGACCUGCCCAACCAGAGACAAUAAAACACUGGACUUACUGUAUUCCAAUGCAGAAGAGGCAUACAGUUCAUCACCUCUCCCUCCCCUGGGCAGAUCUGAUCACAACCUGGUGCACCUUGUCCCUGUGUAUGAGCCCUUAGUGCGCAGGGAGCCACCAGCCACCCGCACAGUGCAGAGAUGGUCGGAGGAGAGCGAGGAGGCUCUUAAGGAUUGUUUUGAGUCCACUGUGUGGGAGGUGAUCUGUGACGACCACGGAGAGGACAUCGACAGCCUUACUACAUGCAUUACUGACUAUAUUAAUUUCUGUGUGGAUAACACCGUACCUACCAGGACUGUACGGUGUUUCUCCAACAACAAACCUCGGAUUACCCCAGAAAUUAAAGCUGUCCUCAAGCAGAAGAGGAGGGCCUUCAAAUCCAAAGACAAGGAGGAGUUGAAAAGGGUGCAGAGAGAACUGAGGGGACUGAUAAGGAAUGGGAAGGACAGCUACAGGCAGAAGAUGGAGAACCAGCUUCAGCAAAAUAACGUUGGUGAAGUCUGGAGAGGCCUCAGAACCAUCUCAGGCCACAAACAUCAGAACUCUCUGCCUGGGAGGGAUGUGAGGUGGGCAAAUGAACUGAAUCAUUUCUUCAACAGAUUUGAUUCAGCCAUGAGGCAGUCUCCAACAUCGGCUGCAGACUCAUCCACCCCCACUGCUGCUGUUCCACCUCUGACACCUCAGACACUUCACACCUCCUCUAUUCACCCUGCUCACCCCUCCCCACCCCCAACAACAGCAUCCAAUAGGGCUUUGGAGUUGACGUCACGCCGCGGAGCGCAACGCCAUUUUCGGGGUCUACGAAUCAAAAGAGACACUGUGUUGGAACGACGACGACAAGAAUCAUGCUUAAAAGCAGCUCCAAAGAAAACGGACGGUAUAGAGACCGAUUGCGUCCAGAGGCGAAGCAGCGGUACUUGA
ensembl:lncRNA